rnacentral:rRNA from 1 species
CCUACGGGUGGCAGCAGUGAGGAAUAUUGGUCAAUGGACGAGAGUCUGAACCAGCCAAGUAGCGUGAAGGAUGACUGCCCUAUGGGUUGUAAACUUCUUUUAUAUGGGAAUAAAAUGUUCCACGUGUGGGCUUUUGUAUGUACCAUAUGAAUAAGGAUCGGCUAACUCCGUGCCAGCAGCCGCGGUAAUACGGAGGAUCCGAGCGUUAUCCGGAUUUAUUGGGUUUAAAGGGAGCGUAGAUGGGUUGUUAAGUCAGUUGUGAAAGUUUGCGGCUCAACCGUAAAAUUGCAAUUGAUACUGGCAGCCUUGAGUACAGUUGAGGUAGGCGGAAUUCGUGGUGUAGCGGUGAAAUGCUUAGAUAUCACGAAGAACUCCGAUUGCGAAGGCAGCUUACUAAACUGCCACUGACAUUGAUGCUCGAAAGUGUGGGUAGCAAACAGGAUUAGAUACCCUAGUAGUC